AGUUUUCUGGCAGCUGCCACUGUGGCCCGUAAGGACCUAGUGACUGCGGGAGAGAGACAUCCUAAGGCCUGCAGGCUGCAACCAUGGAAGACAUUCCAUGGGUGAAGGGGGGUCAAUGUGGAAUCCGACCCCCAUCAGGAAGUGGGUGGAUAUAGAACCUCAUCCCCUCGUUUUGGCUGGCUUGCAACAAUACAGCUUGAUGUUGUAGAAGCAGAGACAGAAGAGGUAACUGGAGGAAAUGGGCUUCUCCGCGCCAAGAGAACCACCAAGCGAUUAUCUGUGACAUCACUUCCUUCAGGGCUGCAGAAGGCACAAUAUUCAUCAAAAAAGAGACCACACUUCCCAGCACUUAAAAAGAAGAAGCGGAGCAUGGAAGCCAUUCUCCAGAAAUCAGAGCUGACCGUAGGCAAGCUUCAAAUGUGGAUGACCUCAUAGAAACAGUGACUGACAAAUCCAUGAAGCUUCUGGAACAAAGGCACGCUGAGCUUAAGCAGUGUGAGUUUCUAGGGGCUGAGAUCCUUCAGUCUUCGAAGCAAUUCCAAAGGCUUUCCAAGAGAACCACGAGGAAGUAUAAGCUGCGACGAGCAUGCUUCCCAUGCACCUGCUGCUGCUGCUGCUGAGUUCCCAGUACACAGCUCAGCUACCAAGGGGAGGGACCCUGCCUCAAACAGGGUAGACAAGCAGCAGCCAACGCUACCAUCUGAAUCUAGCCACAUGCUACAGCAGGUGCACGCCCUCACACAUAAGCAUGCAAACAUAUGUACCAUGUAUGCAUGCUCCCAAAGAAGUAUUUUUUAAAAAGAUUCUUUAAAACAAAAUGAUAGAAGAAGCAUUUACCAACCACAUUCCUCAAGGACUAAGAGAGAGCUGUAGAAAAGCAACACAGAUGGACUGAUUUCAUACGACAGCCAUUCUUAACAGUGUGAAAGCUUCCCCUACAAUAGACCCACGCCAUAAGUACUCAUCAUGGCCCUCUAAGGCCUACUCAUGGACUCCAUUUUCUCAAGUUUUACUAACAUCUUCUAGAAAUCUAUUCAUUUUCUCAUGUGUAUCCCAAACGCCAUCUUAGAUAAUCCUUACCUGGUUCGCUAAGGCAAGUGUUAGCAGUUACCUAGAGUUUUGAAUGAGCACAAAGAUCCACCUUGAGACAUUUUAUUAAAUAUUUUCAGAUGCUGAUUUCUAUGUUUAAGGAUAAAAAUGUAUUUAAAAAAUACAUAUAUAUGGGAUACAUUUCCGUUCUGUGAAGAAAUAUGAACGACACAUGAAUACUUGAAAGCAAAGUACUUCAAUGCUGAAGUUGAAAUAUCCCAAAAGUACAACACACUGAACCCAGGAAGCCCAUGCAGCUAUUCGCUGUCCCUGUAAAUGGCGACGGUCAGUCCAUCUAUGGCUUAGGGUCUGCUUCCAUGGUGCUUUCUUGAGCUUCAUCCACCUCUGACAGCUUGUCAUCAUCUGUAGUUAAGAAGACACAGAACCUUACUCCAUGUCACCUACAUUUUGUGCCUAGUAAUGCAUGAGAAGUUUUAUUUUGCAUUAGCAAAUAUGGUUAUGUAUGCAGCCCCUGCGCAACCCCCACAACGUAAUUGUUAUAGUUGAUUAUUUUUACAUAUUAUUAAGAGCAUAUAAUUUGUGUGAUAGAUUUCAUUAAAACCAAAGAACUAAAAUCUAGGUCUUAGCCUGAUU
ensembl:antisense Gm11100 predicted gene 11100